rnacentral:tRNA from 1 species
AAGAGAAUGCUGAAGCUAAAAGAAGCUGCUAACUAUAAUUUAAAACGGUUUAAUUCCGUUUUUCUCUUU